rnacentral:tRNA from 1 species
AAAGCAGUAGGUUAAUUAAUAAACUAUUGGAUUGUGGGGUCAGUGAUAUAUUUGUGUUUUUAUCUGUUUUA